rnacentral:snRNA from 1 species
UUGGGUCAGUUUUUAACAGCACUGAAACUGGAAUGUAACAAAGAAGAUUAGCAUGGCCUCUGCACAAAGAGGACACACAAAUUCAGAAAGCAUUCCAUACCUCU